CACACACACACACACACCCUCACCACCCGCUGUGACCCACCCACCACCGGGUAGGGGAGGGAUUGGGAACCUGAUCUCCGGGCUCCUGCCCCGAACGUUUCCCCAUCAAUAACGUUGAUACCAUCGAUGCUCCUCCUCCCCCGCCCUCCCGGGGGCCGCUGCCGCCUUUUUGCCGCUUUUUGCUAGGCGCAGGAAAAUGAAACCUCCUAUACAGCUCUCCUGGCCUCGGUGGGGGGCCAGCGGGGCCUGGGCCCGAGACUUAGGAAGCUGGGUCGCCGGAAUGCGUCUGGGGCCUGGAGCACAGCCCUUGGGCCCUGACAACGCACCAAGGACACUCCAGGUCUUGGGAAAACUGAGGCGGACAUAUGGGUAGAAAGACAUCAAACCCCCAGGAUGGGAGUCUGCAGAACGGCCGAACGCCUCCCCCGGGUGUGGUUCCCCUCGGUCCUCGAGGUCGCGACCCUGGCGCAGCUGCUGCAUUUCUUCGGGCCACCCCGAUUCUCUAUCGCGAAUCAUCCCUUAAGUACUCGCCCUCUAGAGGAACCCGCAAGUCCCAACUUCUUCCUCCCAAUUCCCACAGCAGCUGUCCCCAUUCAGGGGCUGGGAGGGCGCAACCCCAGGGAGGGCGCUUAGGUCUUUGGAGAAACUGGACGUAGCGGCAAUUAUCGCUGUGGCACCUAACUCGCACUCGCUGCUUUCUUCCGAACCUCUCAAAAAAUAAAAAUCACCCCUACUGUCUUCGUU